rnacentral:lncRNA from 1 species
UUUUAGGGCCGCACCUGUGGCAUAUGAAGGUUCCCAGGGUAGGAGGCGAAUUGGAGCUACAGCUGCCAGUCUACACCACAGCCACAGCAACGGCAGGAUCGGAGCAGCAUCUGUGACCCACACCACAGCUCAUGGCAAUCCGGAUCCUUAACCCGCUGAGGGAGACCAGAGAUCGAACCUGCGUUCCCAUGGUGACUAGUCAGGUUCGUUAACCACUGAGCCACAACAGGCAUCCAGAAGAAAACAAAUUUUUUCACCAGUUCCUUCUCCCUGUCUGCCCUACUACUCAACCUCCACCCACAAGGCCCAUCCUGGAGCAAGCUCAGCAGGGGUUCCCUUCCUCCAGCACCUUGAAAGCCCUGACUGUGUGAUAGAUUUGUCGAGAGGACUCGAAUAAAGAAUUGUAUCACGACGCUCGCAUAGAGCUACCACCAUUGGCUAUUUCUUGACGUUAUGGAAUCAUCAGUUUCUGCCUCAUGACGAGUUUAGUAGGAAGCCUGGGCAAGCCUACAGAAAAAAGAGUUAGAAUCGCAUGAUGUCAGAGUAACAAGGCCUUACCAAACUGUCUGGUGAAGGCUGGAGAGUAGGUUGGAUCCUGGCCUUUUGCAAGGCUUGGUGCUGGCUCCACGUAGCCCUGUCCCUGAAGUCUCGGGUUGGGAAGGGACGUGGCAGGUGAUAGAUCAGCCAUGUCUGCCGUGGAUGAGAUGCGGCAGAGGGGCAGGCCUCUUGGGUGUGUUCCACGCCUUGUCGAGGUCCAACUUCUCACUUUGCAAACAAGGGAACGGAAAUUCAGAGAGCCGAGGUGCCUCCAUGAAGAUUGUACCCCCAGAGCUGGACCCGGACCCCGCCCUCUAGCUUUCCGCCGGGGAUUAUUUUCAACACCAAUUCUUUUGCUUUCCUUCAGAAAGUCUGGACGGGGCAGAUUUCAUGAGGCAAGGCGCAGUUAGGGAGCUGGCUCUACCUAAUGCCUGACCAAGAGACCUAGGAACCCCAGCAGGAAGGGUGGGGCUCCUCUCCGCACAGAAAUCUGUAGUGACGUUCAGGGCCCUAAAUUCUGACCAGAGCCUGAAGUGUCCCUCCUCCCUGUAACUAUAUUGCCCUCACCAUUCUUACCAUCCCAGUUUCGAUGGCCUCAAACUGGGAUGGUGUGCACAGAAAUGCUUUUUAUUUUCUCUCGGUUUUGUUGACAUAAGUUGUGUUUACUUCUAUUUUAUUUUUUUAAAUAAAUUGUAUUGGAGUAGAGUUGACUUAGAAAAUUGUGUUCGUUUCAGGCGUACAGUAGAGUAAAUCAGUUUUGCAUUUACAUGUAUCUGUUCCUUUUCAGAUUCUUUUCCCAUAUAGGUCAUUGCACAGUGCUGAGUAGAUUUCCCAGUAGGUCCUUGUUACCUGUCUAUUUUAUACACAGUAGUCUGCAUAGGUCCAUCCCAACCCCCCAAUUUAUCCCUCCUGCCCCACGUCUCCCCUUUGGUAACCAUGAGUUUGAUUUCAAAAUCUUUGAGUCUGUUUCUGUUUUGUAAGUUCUUUUGCAUUACUUUUAUUAGAUUCCACAUAUUGGUGAUCUCACGUGAUAUUUGUCUUUCUCGGUCUGACUGACUUUACUUAGUAUGAUAAUUUCUAGGUCCAUCCGUGUUGCUGCAGAUGGCAUUAUUAUUUCUUUUUCGUGACUGAGUAGUAUUCCCUUGGACAUGUGUACCACAUCUUCUUUAUCCAUUUCUCUGUUGAUGGACAUUUAGGUUGCUUCCUUGUCUUGGCUAUUGUGAACACUGCUGUGAUGUACGUGGUGGUGCAUGUAUCUUUUUGAACUAUGAUUUUCUCUGGACAGCUGCCCAAGAGUGGGAUUGCUGGAUCAUAUGGUAGUUCUAUAUUUAGUUUAUUUAAGGAACCUCCAUUCUGUUCUCCAUAGUGAUUGGACCAACUUACAUCCUCACCAGCAGUGUGGGAGGGUUCCCUUUUCCCCACUCCCUCUCCAGCAUUUAUUGUUUAUAGAUUAUUUUGGGGAUGUCGUUUACGUCUAUUUUAAACUUGGCCUUCCUGGCUAAGAAUAAUGGAUUUAUUUGAUGAGAAAAGACAUUCAUAUUGGGUGUCAGUAGAAGGGAAAAAGGACCAGAGAAGUUUUUUGGUUUUGUUUUAAUUUAUCAAGAGAUAAGCUAUAUUUUAAAAAACAAAAUAAAGUAAAUAAGCCCCGGCUCAGCUGGUGAUAUUUGCCUUUUCUUUUGGCCUGGGACCUGGUCUAGUGCCAAGCUCCAGGCUGACCAUUACCUCCUCCUGAAAUGCCUGCUCCCUCACCCGGCAAAUGCUUUUCUUUCCUUUUGUGUCUAGAGGUGUCCUCUGCCUUUGGGGUAAGAAGAAGAGCGUUGAUUUUGUUCAGCAAAAAACACUUACUGAGCACCUUCAGUGUGUCCGUCACUUUGCUCGGCACUUAGGUUCCAGGUUCGAUCCCUCGCCUCGCUCAGUGGGUUAAGGAUCCAUCAUUGCCAUGAGCUGCAGUAUAGGUCACAGACACAGCUUGGAUCCCAAGUUGCUGUGGCUGUGGUGAAGGCUGGCAGUGGCAGCUCCGAUUUGACCCCCUAGCCUGGAAACUUCCAUAUUCUGUACUUAUGGCCCUAAAAUGUAAAACAAAAACAAAAACAAAAAUUAAAACAAAACAAGCAAAAAGAAUGCACCAAGAAGGAGUUCCCGUCAUGGUGGAGCAGAAACGAAUCCAACUAGGAACCAUGAGGAUGUGAGUUCGAUCCCUGGCCCUGCUCAGUGGGUUAAGGAUCUGGCGUUGCCGUGAGCUAUGGUGUAAGUUGCAGAUGGGGCUCAGAUCUGGCAUUGCUGUGGCUGUGGUGUAGACCGGCUGCUACGGCUCCGAUUAGACUCCUAGCCUGGGAACCUCCACAUGCCAAGGGUGCAACCCUAAAAAGACAAAAGACCAAAAAAAAAAAAGAAUGCACCAAGCCCCCUGCCCUUUGGGAACUUAACUGGCACCUACAAUGAGCCGGGAAACAACGCUGAGCCUUGGGCCCUGUUGGCUCAUUCACUCUUCUCCCUAAACCUGCUCUUCUGUCGGUCACAGGCACUGUCUCUUGUUCUCCACUCCGUCCUUAGCACCAAGCACAGUGCCUGGCACGUGGUGCUGGGAAAGACUGUGACUCACUGAGUAACUGAUUCCUAAAACCACCAUAAAAGGUAAGCAUUUCCCCUGUUACAGAUGAGGAACCGAGGUUGCCCGAGACUAAGCAGCCUUCCUAGGGUCUCCUGGUAGCGAUGACUUGGGUCAUUUGUUUGGGGACCCUUUGCUUUUCCCUCCCUGAUGGCACCCCUCCCUACUUCCCCUUUCUAGAGCGGGUUUUCUCGUCUAUAAAUUCAGAGGAGCAGACUGGAGGAUUCUACGAUCCCUUCAAGAUCUAAAUUUCAUAGCCAGUAUCCAAAGUUGGCGCUAGAAGGCAUAUACCCAUUUUUCCUGGGAGGGUUUUAUGAGUUAUUGUUUUUUAACAUGCAUUUCUUUUGCUGUCAUUAGACUACUAGCUCUU